AACGCAAAUUGCACUCCCUGGUAUUCCGGGGAGUAUGCCUGUUUGAGGGUCGUUAGAAUAAAAAUCGAGGCGUCGCUCUUUUUUUGAAGGGUGAUCGAGUCGGAAUUGAGCCGUCUUUCAAAUGUAAAUUCAUGUCAAAGUGGCUUAAAAUUCAUCCAUCCGGUACGAUUAAAGCGUAUUUAAGAUCAAUUUUGAUUAAGAACGCGCGAUGACGUACCAUCUCAUGUAGUACGUUUGACCUGUCGUCGUCAGGAUCAUUCGUAUACGAUACUCAACUUUUGACCUCAAAUCAGGUAAGAAUACCCGCUGAACUUAA
rnacentral:misc_RNA from 1 species